rnacentral:misc_RNA from 1 species
UUUCUAUCAACAAACAAAGUCUUGUCACCCACCCAAGUAAGUAACGCAGCCCUCUGCCUGUUCCGGCUAAGCUACACUUCUUGACUUCGCCUUUCUCUUCACCAUCAUGUAAGAUUGUUCCUUUCUGUUAUUUUUUCCCCUUUCUGAUUUGGUAUUUUUCUUGCCCUCUUGUCUCAACAUGUCUAAGUCUUGGUGCAACUUCACUUCAAGACCUCCCUAGCACUCCAAAGUGAAUUUUCAUUCCCAAUUCCCAUCGGUCAUGACUCUUUAUCUCAUAUAAUCAGAUACCAAAGAUAAAAAAGAUCAAAGUCAUGGUUUCUCUGACUGUAGGUCACUUGAACUCCAGACUUUCUAGGGUUUUUGCGUCUUUGUAGCUCUUAGCUUUAGGGUUUUUGGGAUUUUCUUCAAUUAUUUUCUGGCCUUUUUAUUGGUUGUUUGCCUUACCUGGAUUUGUUGAUAGAUGGAGGACUAUAAUCAAAUGAAUGAG